CCCCGGAGGGGCGGCUCCUUGGCCAGGGAAGGAGGCGGGAUCUGCUUGCCAGCGGGCGUCUCCGCUUAGCGCUCUCUCCAGAAACCGCUGGGCAGUCUCCUGGGUGAGCGCCAGACGCCUGGGGUCCGUUUGCCGCCUGCUGAGACUAGACAAGGACCCCGGGAGGGCGACGUUGGGGGAGAGGGCUACGGAUGGAGGUCCCGCCGCGCUUGGGCCGGGUCCGGAGCCACCAGGACGCACAGCGGGCACAGAGCUCAACACUUUAUUUGCUCCCUGUCAUUCAAUGCUAAUAAUACCAAUAUUCAGUGAAAAAUACUGGAGCUUAAAGGUCAGAUCACUUGUCCAGAGUCACAGAACAGAAGCCCAAGUAAUCUGGUAUAACAGCCAGGCUUUUUUUCUACUACAACAUUCUUCAUCCUGUAUGACAUUUUGAAAUCUGGAAUUAGAAGAGUGGAGUUCAUGUGUCGCCUGAAAUGAUCCUCAUGCCAUAAAGGUUUCCCUCAUUCUCAGUCAGGUGGUUGAGUUAUCCAAGCCUUCAUAACCAGAGGGUCUGAGCACUUGUUGGACUGUGCUUACUGCAGCUUCUCAUUUACAAUUACCACUGCACCUGAGAGUACCAAGAGAUUCCUGAGCCAGAGAUUACGAUUUCCAACUUCCAGCUCCUCAAGGUUUCAAUAUCAGGAUGAUGCCAGCCUCAUAAAAUGAGUUAGGGAGGAGUCUGAGAGGAGCUAUUAGAGCUUUACAGGCUUUUGUAUCAUAUGUAGAAAGCUGAAACUGGAUCCCUU
rnacentral:lncRNA from 1 species